UUUGGGUGGUAAAGGGGCAAAUUUCUCCCUGGAGCUCCACAGUUUGUGCUACGGGUAGAAGCCUAUAGAGUUCAGAAACCUUAUGCGACUUAGCCAACGUUGUCCAGGGCUUGAAGUCAAUGGGAGACUUUCCAUGGAUUUCAUCAGGAGUUGGAUCCAUCCAGCAGAGAAGCGCAGCCGCCUCAGCCGGGGAGCAGAGUCGGGGCAGACGGAUGCUCUGCAAGCAAAACGCAGCCCUGCGCAGCAAAGCAAAGGCCGUGCGUGGAAAGGGCUAGGAAACAUUAUUGCUUUUGUCUAGCCGUAAUGAAAAUAAAUGAGGGCUUCAAUUUAAAGUAGUUACUAAAAAUUUGUUCUUUCCUCUGCCCUAAUUCCAAAACUGACUUGCAGCUAAUUAGACUGAGUCGAGCACACACUUGCUGUGCUGUGCUAGUGUAAACAACAGCCAUCUGAGUUUCAUUACAAUAAGGAAAUAAAAUAAACACAGGGCCAGAAAACAGUAGU